AGCGNGGCGUCGCGCAGCGGGCGUCCGUACUACCCUCCGGGCUGCUCUUAACCGGGUGGCCCGGUGGGCCGGCACGUUUACUUUGAACAAAUUUGAGUGCUCAAAGCAGGCCUUUGGUCGCCUGAAAACUGUGUGCAUGGAAUAAUGGAAUAGGGCCUCGGUUCUAUUUUGUUGGCUUUUCUGAACUUGAGGUAAUGAUUAAUAGGGACAGACGGGGGCAUUCGUAUUGCGACGUUAGAGGUGAAAUUCUUGGAUCGUCGCAAGACGAACGGAUGCGAAAGCGUUUGCCAAGAAUGUUUUCGCUAAUCAAGAACGAAAGUUAGAGGUUCGAAGGCGAUCAGAUACCGCCCUAGUUCUAACCAUAAACGAUGCCAGCCAGCGAUGCGCCGAAGUUCCUCCGAUGACUCGGCGCGCAGCUUCCGGGAAACCAAAGCUUUUGGGUUCCGGGGGAAGUAUGGUUGCAAAGCUGAAACUUAAAGGAAUUGACGGAAGGGCACCACCAGGAGUGGAGCCUGCGGCUUAAUUUGCCCCACCACCCGGNNACAGNNCAUGUUGCNGGNUAGGGAAGGCCCCACCUUUUUAACCGCC
rnacentral:rRNA from 1 species